AGCGAACGCUGGCGGCAUGCCUAACACAUGCAAGUCGCACGGGGGGGCUUCGGCCUCCCAGUGGCGGACGGGUGAGGACCGCGUAGGGACCUGUCGAGGGGUGGGGGAUAACCGCGGGAAACUGCGGCUAAUACCGCACGACGCCGCGGCGUGACAGCCGGGGCCAAAGGCGAAAGCCGCCCGCCGAGGGGCCUGCGUCCGAUUAGCUGGUUGGCGGGGUAGCGGCCCACCAAGGCGUCGAUCGGUAGCUGGUCUGAGAGGGUGAUCAGCCACACCGGGACUGAGACACGGCCCGGACUCCUACGGGAGGCAGCAGUGGGGAAUAUUGGACAAUGGGCGCAAGCCUGAUCCAGCAAUGCCGCGUGGGUGAAGAAGGUCUUCGGAUUGUAAAGCCCUUUCGGCGGGGACGAUGGUGACGGUACCCGCAGAAGAAGCCCCGGCUAACUUCGUG
rnacentral:rRNA from 1 species